rnacentral:rRNA from 1 species
AACGAACGCUGGCGGCAGGCCUAACACAUGCAAGUCGAACGCACCGCAAGGUGAGUGGCGCACGGGUGAGUAACACGUGGGAAUGUACCCUUUGGCUCGGAAUAAAGUUUGGAAACGAACGCUAAUACCGGAUGAGGCAUACGGGGGACAGAUUUAUCGCCAAAGGAGCAGCCCGCGUCUGAUUAGCUAGUUGGUGGGGUAAAGGCCUACCAAGGCGACGAUCAGUAGCUGGUCUGAGAGGAUGAUCAGCCACACUGGGACUGAGACAAGGCCCAGACUCCUACGGGAGGCAGCAGUGGGGGAUAUUGGACAAUGGGCGGAAGCCUGAUCCAGCCAUGCCGCGUGAGUGAUGAAGGCCUUCGGGUUGUAAAGCUCUUUCGCACGCGACGAUGAUGACGGUAGCGUGAGAAGAAGCCCCGGCUAACUUCGUGCCAGCCGCCGCGGUAAAAC